UGCGAAGGGGGCUAGCGUUGCUCGGAAUCACUGGGCGUAAAGCGCACGUAGGCGGGUUGCCAAGUCGGGGGUGAAAUCCUGGAGCUCAACUCCAGAACUGCCUUCGAUACUGGCGACCUUGGAGUCCGGGAGAGGUGAGUGGAACUGCGAGUGUAGCGGUGAAAGUCGUAGAUCUUCGCAAGAACACCAGUGGCGAAGGCGGCUCACUGGCCCGGUACUGACGCUGAGGUGCGAAAGCGUGGGGAGCAAACAGG
rnacentral:rRNA from 1 species